rnacentral:rRNA from 1 species
GAAGCCGUACCGUAAGGAGCGGUGGAGCGACCAGAAGUGAGAAUGCCGACAUGAGUAGCGUAAAUUACGUGAGAACCGUAAUCGCCGUAUGCCUAAGGUUUCCGAUGCAAGGUCAGUCCACAUCGGGUUAGUCGGGCCUAAGUCGAGGUCGAGAGACGUAGACGAUGGACAAUCGGUCAACAUUCCGAUACUGGGCUAGUGGAGCGAUGGAGGGACACAGAAUGGUAGG